ensembl:lncRNA
UUUUUUUAAUGGUGUCCCAAAGAUCUUAAAUGCUCUCCUCAUUCUUUCUUGUUUUUUCUUUAUUUUUAUCUAAAUGUGAUAUUUUGAAAUGCCAUUUGCUUGAUCUAGUCUGUUGAUGAGAAUGUCAACUGAAUUUUUUAUUCAACUGAUAGAGUUUCUCAUUCCAAGUUUUCUGAUAGGUUCUUUUUCUAAAUAUCUAUCUCUCUGUUGAAUUUCUCAUUCAUAUCCUGCAUUGUCUUUCAAAUUUUAUUUAACAGUUUAUCUGUAUUCUCUUGGAUCUCGAUCAAGCAUGAUUGAAAAAUCAUUCUUUGCAAUUCGUCGUCAGGCAUUUUAUCCCCUGCAGUGUGGUGGAAAUCUGGUACUGGAAGCCUGAUCUGUAGGAGGUGUCAUAUUACCUGGUCUGGGUGUCUUCCUUGUGUUCCUUGAGAUUCACGCAUCUGUUUGAGUGGCUGUCUCUACAGUCUCUAUGGAAUGCCCCGAGCGGGCGGCUUUCUCCUGACAGUGUGCUCUGGGCAUAUACAGUUGCCUCAGGUCUUUGGAUUUUACAAAGUUUCCAUUUCCCUGCUGUUGAAUUUCACUGUUCUGCCAUCAUUCACCUCAACAUGAACCUAUAUACCUGUUGCCUUGGUUCUUCUUUUUGGAAGAGUAGGUGAGUGCUAGGUACCUUUAUUCAGCCAUCUUACCCAUCUCCCUCCUUAAAAAAAAUUUUUUUUUUGCCUGUGUACAGUUGCUUCAGUACCAUUUAUUGGAAAGUCUAUGUCUCUU